GGGGGCCGGCGGCGGCUUUGUUGGCGGCCGCUCGGGAGCAACCUUGAGCGCGGGCGCUGCGACAGUGAUUUAGGUGCUGGCAUUGGAGCGUGAAGGUAAAUGGCCACAUUUCACCGUCAGAAGCUAUGUGAACUUCAGCCUGUCCCCAACUCUUUGGAGCCCAGUUUCUGAGGAUGGAGUGAGGAAAAUGUUAAGUGCUGGCCCCACCCUGGCUCCUGGAAGCUGCUCAGGUCUGAGUUCAGCAAGCCCAGCCCCAUCUCCUCUCAAGGCUCCGCCCUGAAGAGCUCAGCAAGCCCCGCCCCUG